GACGAACGCUGGCGGCGUGCUUAACACAUGCAAGUCGAACGAAAAGAGGGAAAGAGCUUGCUCUUUCCGGAAUUGAGUGGCAAACGGGUGAGUAACACGUAAACAACCUGCCUUCAGGAUGGGGACAACAGACGGAAACGACUGCUAAUACCGAAUAAGUUCCAAGAGCCGCAUGGCCCAUGGAAGAAAAGGUGGCCUCUACCUGUAAGCUAUCGCCUGAAGAGGGGUUUGCGUCUGAUUAGCUGGUUGGUGGGGUAACGGCCCACCAAGGCGACGAUCAGUAGCCGGGCUGAGAGGAUGAACGGCCACACUGGAGCUGAGACACGGGCCAGACUCCUACGGGAGGCAGCAGUGGGGAAUCUUCCGCGAGGGGCGAAAGCCUGACGGAGCAACGCCGCGUGAGUGAUGACGGCCUUCGGGUUGUAAAACUCUGUGAUCCGGGACGAAAAGGCAGAGUGCGAAGAACAAACUGCAUUGACGGUACCGGAAAAGCAAGCCACGGCUAACUACGUG
rnacentral:rRNA from 1 species